rnacentral:misc_RNA from 1 species
AAGAGUUGCAAAACUCCAAACCCACUGUGAACAUACCUGAAAGUUGCGUCGGCAGAUGGCUCCGGGAGGGCCUUUGCCUAUGCCCCCGAAAAGAGGGGUAUGGGUAUCUGCCGAAAUAAUUAUACUCUGUUAUACUUAUUGUUCUGAAAUACUAUUUAAUUAGUCA